UUAAGAAGCUGCUAGAAUCAAUUAGGGCAGGCUGGCUAAUCAGGGCACCUGAGUUUAAAAAGGACCUCACUUCAGUUUGUGGAAUGUGUAUGUGAGGAGCCGGGACCAAGAAGCACUAAGAGCUGGGAGUGAGAAGGUAUACUGCUGGAGGACUGAGAAGUACAAGCAUCAUCAGACACCAGGAGGAAGGUCCUGUGGAGCCAGGAAAGGCAGGUCCAGGAGCAAAGCCAAAGGUCAGAGCCAGCAGUCAGAAACCAAAGCUGAAGUCAAGAGGUUGUGUCAAGGAUGUGGUGGAGCACAGAUCCGCCCUAUCAAUUCUCAGCUGGCACUUGGUCCCCUAUGGAAUCUAUGCCAAUGAAGCACCGGAGAACAGCCCCAGGCUCUCUAGUUUAUCCCUGUGCCAAAGCAGCUGCAAGCUUCAGAAUCAGAACAGGCUCCCUGAUGUCCUCCUCCCAUCUUCUUGUGCCAGUCAGAACUCCGUACAGAAGAGCAUCUAGCUCAUGGCUUUUGAGGAAAAACCACGGAAGAGACCACUUGAAGCAAAAGAAUGAACAGAUCGCCUUCAGUGUGUGAUUAUUUGUCCAAGAGGAAGUAUAUUUGGUGACACCAUGAUAAAGGCUUCAGACUGUGGUGGAUGGAAUGAAGCUGAGAUGAUAUUGAUACUUUACCACAGUCACUCUGUAGCUCUGUGCAAUAGAUUGUUUAUGAAACUUGCAGUAAAGAACAUAAACAAAAAUAUUUUCCUUGGAGGGAUUGGGGUGGCAAUUGGAUUUCUUAGAUUGUAUUCUCUUACGGACAGGGACUGUAUUUUUAUAAUGUGUGGUUGUAGCAGGGUGGUCACCCACUUCUGCCUUAAAAGGCUUAAAAUAGCCUGGGGAGAGGGCUGUGGCAGGGAAGGAAAAGCGGGGAUGACUGGGAGAAGCAGCUUGAGCUGGAGGCCACGCCCCAAUCAGGCAGUGGCUGGCUUAAUGAGGGCUCAGCUGGCCCUUAUAAGAGGGCAGUGGGCCAGGAGCAGACAUUCUCUCUGUCUGUCUGUGUGCCU